UACGGAGGGUGCAAGCGUUAUCCGGAUUCACUGGGUUUAAAGGGUGCGUAGGUGGGUCUGAAAGUCAGUGGUGAAAUUUCCGGGCUUAACCCGGAAACUGCCAUUGAUACUAUCUGUCUUGAAUACCGUGGAGGUGAGCGGAAUAUGUCAUGUAGCGGUGAAAUGCUUAGAUAUGACAUAGAACACCAAUUGCGAAGGCAGCUCACUACGCGAAUAUUGACACUGAGGCACGAAAGCGUGGGGAUCAAACAGG
rnacentral:rRNA from 1 species